rnacentral:rRNA from 1 species
UACGUAGGGUGCAAGCGUUGUUCGGAAUUACUGGGCGUAAAGCGUGUGUAGGCGGCUUUGCAAGUCGGAUGUGAAAGCCCCGGGCUCAACCCGGGAAGUGCACUCGAUACUGCAGAGCUUGAGUGUCGGAGAGGUUGGUGGAAUUCUCGGUGUAGAGGUGAAAUUCGUAGAUAUCGAGAGGAACACCGGCGGCGAAAGCGGCCAACUGGACGAACACUGACGCUGAGACACGAAAGCGUGGGGAGCAAACAGG